UUCCCCGUCCGAUGUUCGGUAUCUGCAUUGGAGCCCCAAUUAUAUUUGAAUUCCCGCCACGUAGGGUUUUUCCAUACCCAGGACUCGAUCCCGAGUUCUCUAGUUAAGGAAAGAGCAGUCUCAUCCACUGCACCACAUCCUUUGGUAAAACCUAACAUUUGCAAUAACAUACACAUGGCUUUUAACAAUACAAGUAUCACCAAAAUAACGUUUACAUGUAUUGAAUUAAUAACAUAAAUGAGCUAUUACAACUAACAAGAACUAUUGUGGGACUAAAUUUGACAUGCUAUAAUAAGGGUUUAGAUCAAUUCACAACUAAUUAUCUGUUUCACCUUACGAAAGUAGCUUUAGUUGGAGCAUAGUAAAAUCCAUAUCUCAAAUUAAAAAGGCUAGCUAGUGAUAAAAUAAUCAAAGCCAAGAAACAUCAUAAAUAGCUUUGGCGCAAGAUCUCAUAGUAAGUGGAAGCUGCAACAGCAAAGCUAUGAUUUUCAUCAAAAGUAUCAAAAUUUAACUAAAUAAAUACAUAAGUCAGUUAAGAUGGGUCAAUACAUAGUAGUAUAUAUACAUAAAAAUAAUACAUAGUAGUAUAUAUACAUAAAAAAUUAUUUUUAACUGUAUAAACCGUACUCCCUCCGUUUUUAGUGUGACCCAAUUGUCUAUUAAACAAUUUACCUGAUAAAUCACUGCACCCAAUGAAAUAAAUUCACAUAAAAUAUAAUGAGUAUAAUUUUUCAUAUCAACCUUUUACAUAAAAGACACAAUUUUCCAGACAAGAAGGACUGGAGGAAGACAAUUUUCACUUGGGCCGCUGUCAAUUUGAAAUAGGGCAGGAGGCCCAAACGUUUGGACUUAGGAUCGGGUAGGGGCCGCGCGAACGCAGGCCCCUACUACCACAAAUUAUGACGUAGGCUCGGCCACUUGGGCCGACCUUAGGCUAGCACCCCUCCAAAGUGCAAUGGAGGUCACUAGCCUAGGCCAUGGGUCUUGUUGAUCGCCCAUUGACCCCGUCCAGGUAAGUAUGUUUUUCUGUCAGCCCAGCCCAACUUUUAUUCACCAGCAUUUGCUCAUUCUAAGUUUGUAUUUGCCGAUGUGGG
rnacentral:lncRNA from 1 species